AUCAGCCCUUUCAGUCUCAUUAUUUCUCUCUCAUCUCAUCUCAUCUCUCUACAGUUCACCUAAAUAUCUGGUUGUCCAUUGCUGUUGUACCUGAAGAGGUGACCAUUUUCUAAAUCCCUGUGUUAUAGAGCUAUGCUGGAUUUUGGAG